GACAAACGCUGGCGGCAUGCCUAACACAUGCAAGUCGAACGGACAGACCAGGGAAGCUUUUCGGAGUGGAACUGGAAAGUUAGUGGCGGAUGGGUGAGUAACGCGUGGACAACCUACCUUGUAAAGGGGAAUAACCUCGAGAAAUCGAAGCUAAUACCCCAUAAUAACCUUGCUUCGCAUGAAGUAAGGAGGAAAGGCGGCCUUAGCGCUGUCGAUACAAGAUGGGUCCGCGUCUGAUUAGCUAGUUGGUGAGGUAAAGGCUCACCAAGGCGACGAUCAGUAGCCGGCCUGAGAGGGUGAACGGCCACAUUGGGACUGAGACACGGCCCAAACUCCUACGGGAGGCAGCAGUGGGGAAUCUUCCGCGAUGGGCGAAAGCCUGACGGAGCAAUGCCGCGUGAGUGAAGAAGGCCUUCGGGUUGUAAAACUCUGUCCUUAUCGAAGAGAGAGUGUUGUAGUAACUGACAAUACUAGGACGGUAGAUGAGGAGGAAGCCCCGGCUAACUAUGUG
rnacentral:rRNA from 1 species